GAAGUGCGAAAAGUGUCACGACUUGCAGAUUCCCGAGAGCUGAUAAAUCUCUGAAUGCAAAUGGCGGUUCGGUAUCAAAGCCGGCCAUGUAUUGCAGAGUGUUGUUGUUCAUACUAUUCAUCCCCUGCAUUGCACUAGUGUCGAAAGGCAGCAAUGUAGCGUUUGGGAUCUGCGCUUGCGAAUCCUGUUUCUGCGAGCGUUAAAUUGGAGUUUACUGUUGUUGUUGCCUCGGCAACAUCAACAGCAAGCUUCGCAACUUAGCGCGCAGCUCCUGCUGCGUCUAGAUUGUCGAGGUUUAUAACUCUUCUACCACAACACUUCUAAUCCAAACCUCUGCAAUGCAAGAUAACCCGCUGAACUUAA
rnacentral:misc_RNA from 1 species